GUCCAGUUGACGAGUCUCAAAUAGGAUGAAACUAGCGUCCUGGAU
rnacentral:hammerhead_ribozyme from 1 species